rnacentral:rRNA from 1 species
UACAGAGGGUGCGAGCGUUAAUCGGAAUUACUGGGCGUAAAGCGUGCGUAGACGGUUAUUUAAGUCGGAUGUGAAAGCCCCGGGCUCAACCUGGGAAUUGCAUUCGAGACUGAAUAGCUAGGGUGCGGUAGAGGGAAGCGGAAUUUCCGGUGUAGCGGUGAAAUGCUUAGAUAUCGUCAAGAACACCAAUAGUGAAGACAGCUUACUGGGCUUAAACUGACGCUGAGGCACGAAAGUGUGGGGAUCAAACAGG